rnacentral:rRNA from 1 species
GAUGAACGCUGGCGGCGUGCCUAAUACAUGCAAGUCGAGCGAACGGACGAGAAGCUUGCUUCUCUGAUGUUAGCGGCGGACGGGUGAGUAACACGUGGAUAACCUACCUAUAAGACUGGGAUAACUUCGGGAAACCGGAGCUAAUACCGGAUGAUAUUUUGAACCGCAUGGUUCAAAAGUGAAAGACGGUCUUGCUGUCACUUAUAGAUGGAUCCGGGCUGCAUUAGCUAGUUGGUAAGGUAACGGCUUACCAAGGCAACGAUGCAUAGCCGACCUGGGAGGGGGAACGGGCAAACUGGAAAAUAGACAACGUACCAAACGCCACAGGGAGGAGCAAGAAGGAAUGCUUCGGGAAUGGACGAAGGCUUACCGGAGAACCGCGGCUGGGUGGAGGAAGUUCUACGAACGGAAAAAUCUGUUUGUAGGGGAGAACAUUAGUGGAAGUGACCUUGGAAAGUUUGACGGUAACUAAUCAGAAAGCCACGGCUAACUACGUG